CCUACGGGAGGCAGCAGUGGGGAAUAUUGGACAAUGGGGGCAACCCUGAUCCAGCCAUGCCGCGUGUGUGAAGAAGGCCCUCGGGUUGUAAAGCACUUUCAGUGAGGAAGAACGCCUGGUGGUUAAUACCCAUCAGGAAAGACAUCACUCACAGAAGAAGCACCGGCUAACUCCGUGCCAGCAGCCGCGGUAAUACGGAGGGUGCGAGCGUUAAUCGGAAUUACUGGGCGUAAAGCGCGCGUAGGUGGCUUGAUAAGCCGGUUGUGAAAGCCCCGGGCUCAACCUGGGAACGGCAUCCGGAACUGUCAAGCUAGAGUGCAGGAGAGGAAGGUAGAAUUCCCGGUGUAGCGGUGAAAUGCGUAGAGAUCGGGAGGAAUACCAGUGGCGAAGGCGGCCUUCUGGACUGACACUGACACUGAGGUGCGAAAGCGUGGGUAGCAAACAGGAUUAGAUACACGUGUAGUC
rnacentral:rRNA from 1 species